GUCUAUGGCCAUGCCACCCUGAACAAGCCAGAUGUCUGAUCUUGGAAGCUAAGCAGGGUUGGGCCUGGUUAGUACUUGGAUGGGAGACCACCUAGGAGGACCAAGUGCUGUAGGCA
rfam:Pteropus alecto contig91375, whole genome shotgun sequence.